UUGGAAAUAAUGUCAGCUUAUUUUUUCAAUAUAUUGAUCAGUUUUGCUGAAUUUUUUUCUCUUCUUAAAAAUUUUUUUAUGUUAUCUCCCCAGUUAGACUGAGUUCCUUGAUAGCAGGAACUAUUUAAUUCAGUUUAAUUUUUCUUUUGGCCUUUCUUUGUAUACCCAAUGCUUGGCACAUAGUAGAUACUUAAUGAAUACUUAUUAGCUGACUGACUGGGGUCCUCUGAGCACAACGUCACACCCUCCAAGUAACUGGCACAACGUGCCCUAUCUUAUAAGGGCCAUGUCUAUGACACUGCAAGGGAUGGGUGACCAGAAUUAUCUAGGCUGGUUGAUUUGAUUAAGUUAAUCAGUCAAGUAUCAUUACUAUGUGUUUUGUAGACUCAUACUAAGUGACCAGAAGGGAGUUGUUCUUCCUGGCCUCAUUGGGCAGCCAGUAAGUAGAAGUUGCAGAAAAGCAGACUUAAGCUCCAUAUAAGAAAAAAAGUCUGAAAAUUAAAAGUAUCCUAAAAUGGAAAGGACUCCCUCAGGAAAGAGUGGUCUCCAAAUAAAGACAGGAGGAUCACUUGUUGAAGAUGCUGUAGCUGGCAUUCCUGUGCAGAUGAACUAGGUAGACUAGGUAGCCCCUGAGGGCUUCCUUCAGCUCUGAGAUUCUGAGAUUCUAAUUCUAUGAAUAUGAACUCAUACUCCUACAUAAGUACAGGAUCUGAAUUGAAAGAGACUUCAGAGGACAUCUAGUCCAACCCUUGCCUGAGCAAGAAUCCCUCUAUUAAACUCUGGCUUCUUUGCUAUUCCCCAUCUAAAACAUCUCAUCUCCUGCCUCCAAACCUUCGCCAAAUAAUCCUCCAUGUUGGGGAUGCUGUCCUUUCACCUCUCUCUUUUAGGUUCUUUAGCUUCUUUCAUGUCUCAGCCAGUGUGCCACCUCUUAGUUAAAACCUUUCUUCCUUUUGCCCCUCAUUAAUGUACUCUUCCCCUGCCCCCACAAAUUUUCUUUAUAUUUAAUUGGGGUUGUUUUUAUUUACUCAUAUGUGAACAAGUUUCCUGCUCCCAUAGAUAUCCCCUUGAGGGCACAGCCAUUUUAUUUGUCUUUAUUUUCCUAGUAGCAAAAAACUGUGCAUACAGUAAACACUUAAUGACUAUUGGGUUGGAAUAAAGUAUAUGGAAUGAAAUUGAACUGAAAGAACUGAAUUGAAUGAAAUUGAAUCAAAUUUAAUACCUAAUAAGUAAUAAACCAGGCUUUGCUUGACCGCCAUUUGUGAAGGAAAAGCCAUUACUUCACACAAGACAUUCUCAUUAAAGCUCAUGGAAUAACUGUUAGCUUUUUUUCAUCUUAUAUCAAAGUUGAAUCUGUCUUUGAGGCCAAUUGGAACCGUUUUGAUUCAUCCUCCUCAAAAAAUACUCUUUUAAGUGCUUACAGACAGUGAUCAUAUCAGCCCCACCCAAGUCUUCUUCAGACUAAAUAUCCCCUGUCCUUUCAGCUGAUCUUGGCACCUAUUGAAUGGUUUCUAAUCUCAUUCACAUUCUGAUCCACCUCUUCUGCAAGGUCUCUCAUUUGUCAAUAUCCCUUCUGAAAUGUGGUGUUUAGGGGAUACUAUGGUAAAGGGAUAUUCUUACGGCAAAAGAAAUGGCAGUUAUAAGGAGUUCUGAGAAACAUGAAGAAUAACUUGGUAUAGUAUAGAGGCUAAAAGAGCCAGUAAGGAAGAAAGGGUUAAAAUCCCAACUUUGACACAAACAUAGCCACUUAAUCUCUCAGGGAUCCCAGCCAACUCUCUCAGACUAGAAGUUGCAGAGAAGGUGCAGACCUGCAUUGGUAGAGUCUUCUUACCUGGAAAUUUCCUAUACUGAUUAAAUCACAAAUCAGGUCCCCAUCCUUAUUCUAGAGAAAUAUGUGAAGAUUUGUAUUAAAUGAUACAAUAUGAAAUUAGCUGAAGAACAAUAUACAUGGUGGCUACAAUGAUUUAAAUGAAAAGGUCACUUAAAGGAAGUCAAACACUGGCUAGAAAACCUGAACUUUUUAAAAACUAAUUUGAUAACUGUAUAUCAAUAUUAUUUAUUUCCUUUGUAAUGCUAUGUAUUCUACUUUAUGCAUUAAAAAUAUGAUUCUAAGAAUGUGCCCCUUUACUUUACCAGUCUGCCUAAAAAACCCAGGACACAAAACCAUUUAAGAACCCAUGGUCUCAGAGAGCAAAGAAUGAAACAUGGCUCUCGCUCUUGGCCAAGAGGUGGAGAGAAUGAGGAGAGAAUAUUGAAUACAGUGUGAGCUUUGGUUACCAUAUUGCUUAAUUUUGUCUCUGUGUGUGUGUGUGUGUGUGUGUGUGUGUGUGUGUGUGUGUGUGUGUUUUAGAAAGGGGAAAUUUAGUGGGGAAGGAGGUAGGGGAGAGGUAUAUCUAGAAAUGAGAAGACAUCAAUAAAACUUAUUUUAAAAAAUAUAUCUGGUACUUUAAACAGAAUAUAGUAUUUCAGAGAGGAUCUCACCAAGGUAGAGUGUUAUCAUGAGUCUUCCCCUAGACACUAGCCAUGUAUCUACCAUAUGCCAUUACUGAGUGUCUAAAGACGUCUUCAUUCCCUUCUGGAUAGUAUGUUGUGAGCCAGAUCUCUCAGUCAUAAUCAUGACUUCAAUCCACCAACCAACAAGCACCUAUGGGGGGCUUAUUAUCUGUCAGGCAUUGAGUGCUGGGGAGACAAAAAAGCAAAAAUAGCCCCACACUCAACAAGUAUACUUUCUAAUACAGAGACCACAUAUGCAUAGAUACAAAAAUUUUUAAAAUAUAAAAACAGAGUAGAUGGAAAGUAGUCUUGGAGGAGAGGCACUAGUAGUUGGGGAGACUGGGAAAGGCUUCUUACAAGAAAUGAUCCUUGAAGUGAGUCUUAAAAGAAGGCAGGAAUUUUACAAGGUCAAGGAAGAGCAUUCUUGGGUUCAUAAUGGAAGCCAGAAUGCAAGGAAGUGAGAGAAGACUACAUUGGGAAAUAGUCAUCCAAUGAGCCUUAGGGAAGACUUCAAUACUGCUCCUGGAAAGAGUUGGGAUGGGGAGAAAUAGGAUGAGAAGGAAGGCAGUGUUGGCAGCAUAGAGCAGGGAGAUAGCAUUCAGUGAUAUGAGAAGCUGGGAAAGUUGGAAGUUUGGAUAAGCCUCACCCAGAGGACUGGAUGCUUAUCCUGAGCCUACUACUGGUCCAUCUCUUCAAAAGGUGGCUUCCAAGCCCGUACUUGCAAUUAAUCAAACAUGCAAUUACCAAAUUGCUCACACAAAUUGGGCGGUUAGUUGCCUAACCGCCCAAUUUGUGCUCUGCCCGAUGCUUCUUGCAUGACCAACCUGGUAAGUAGGUGAGCAGAGAGACGAGUACACAGCCACAAAUGUGAAGGAGAACUCUGGCCUACACUGGCCCUGGCUCAGGAUGGUCUGGAGAAAGGGUUGGAAAGACUGAGGUCAGCCUCAUUCACAGAUAUCACCACUUUAAGUUUUAGUCCUGGUCAGAUGGAAAACAGAAGUUUAGAAAGAAAAAAAAAACAAACUAGUAUUUGAACAUACCAGAGCCACAAAUAAGAGAUGUUCCAAAUUGGUUGUCAAAGUGGACCAAGGUAAUCUGUUCUCUUUUUCUCUAUGUGGCUAAUAAAAAUGGACUUAAAUAUUGGUUGGACUUAAAGAAGGAAUGCAGGAAGGCUUUGUGCAUGGAAAGAAUGAUGCAAAGAACCUUUACAAGAAUCCCCAUUUCUACCACAACGUGGCAUCUUCCAGCAAUUGCUCAUUAAAUUUCCCAGUACAUUCUUCCCAUUUCCCAUCAUUUCUAAGCCUGAGAAAGAUUUCAAAUCAAGAAUAUACUCCCAUUUCCAUCCCUCAUCUUUCUGUUGGGUGUGUGUAGCAGGGGGCUCUCAAUUGUUGAUUUCCUUGUUAGAUCACUUUCUCUAUGUAUCUGUUUUUUUUUCCUCCCCAUAGAAUGUAAGCUUAUGAAGGUCAAAGACUGUUGCUUCAUGUUUGUCUUGUAUCCUCAGCUUAGCGCAGUGCUUCACACAUAAUAGAUGCUUUGAAAAUGCUUCAUGGAUAAAUGAAUGAAUGUAUGAAUGGAAAGAGCCCUGGACUUGAAGUCAUAUGAUCUCAUUCAAAUCCUAAUUCUGCUACUUAUUAUCUGUGCGACCUUCAGAAAACUCUCUAAGCCUGCUUUUUUUUUUUUUUGCUAUAAAAUGAGGGGCUUGGACCAGAUGACCUUGGAGUACCCAGAUCUAAGAUACUAUGACAUACUAUGAAACUACAACCUUGAUGACCUCCGGUUAGUAUGGUGCUUGGCUCAUAGGAGGUGCUUAAUAAAUACUAAUUGACUGAAAAUUUGACUAUAAAAUGGAGUUAAUAUUACUUGUACUACCAACCUCACAGACUACAAACCCCUUGAGGACAGAGGACACCUAAGGUCUCAUUCUCUAUCUAGUCCCCAACAGGCUCCACCAUAGUACCCAUCAGAGGGGCCCAGAAAUGCCUGUGGAGGGCUUUAGUGGACAUUUCCAGUGCAUUCUGGGAGUUGCAGCUCUGAGACCCAGGUCGGGGAAGGUCACUUCUGGUCAACAAUUUAACUCUCCUGUGACCAGAGGAGGAAGACAAGAAGCUGUAGGAGAAAAAACACUAGAUUGUUUUAGUCUGAAGCCUGGAUUUGAAUGCUGACACUGCCAUCUACCAGCUAAGGUAUCUCAGAGAAAAGAACCUCAAGAAAAGGCCUCCAGAGAAGAGAAGACCAACAGAAGUUGCCAAGGGGCAGCUUGAAGUUUGAUGAAGGAGCUAAAUGCUGUCCACAAUCAGAAUAGGCUACCUAGGAGGUGUGUGGGGGCUUCAUCAUUUCAGCAGAAUUUUAAUGACACUAGUUAUGGAAGUUAUAGCGAGAACACUUGGUCAAGCACAGUUUGGACUACAUGACCGCUGAGAUCCCCUUCAACAAUGAGGGUCAAUGAAUGACAAUGCUUCCCAGAAGGAACUGGAGGCAGAAGUCCCCAUGUCCUCUCUUCCCAGUGCCUUCUCCCCAUUUUUCUUCUCUUGCUCAAAAAGUCUCUUUUCAUUUAGAGUCAGAGGGUGGUCCCCAUAUCUCAUGAAUUAUGUAUGCCUUGUUUGUUUAUGGUGCCCUGUCCUUCCUGCUGAGAGCCCAGAGCAGUAUGGUGGGGAAGAUGGUAGCUGAUAAAUCCUGAUUAACCUUAAUGAUAAGGUGGUUCAUCUACUACUUGCAUAGCCAGAGCUAGAGUCAGUGGGAGUACCCAUGCUUACUGUAUGAACCCAAUGGCCUCAGACAGCAUCAUUAUGUUUCCUCUGUCAAAUGAGAAGGUUGGACUGAAUGCUCUUCAAUAUCAUCUUCACCUCUGUGCUUGAUCUUAGCCAAAAGGCUUAGCGGAGGUGUGAGCCCCUGUGGACCUAAUCUUCUGGGAGUCUGCACCUGUGUGUUUGCCAUGUUCCUUCCCUCUAAUAUAUGCAUUCUUUAUGCUCCCUUGAAUGCUAGCUUCACCAAAAUAAGCUAAGCUAAAUUUUUAUUCUUUUUUAUCCCCUUGGGAACAGCAAAAUGCAAAAACUCCUUGUUUUAAGCAAUGGCUUCCAAGUCACAUCUGCAUUCUUUAUUGGCAAGAUACAUUUCUUCCACUGCCAGAAUUAUUCUUCCCAUAUAGCUUAGGAAGGGCUAAUUUGGGAAAAGAAAGGCCUGUUCAUUAAACAGACCUAGACCACCUGAAAUUGUCCAUCUUGACCAAGGCAUCAGUAAUCAUAGAAUAUCCAUGGUUCCUCAAGAUUAGCUGGAGUCUUAGCCGGAGACCUGGGAAUGCCACAGGUUGUCCAGAGAGAAGAUAAAAGCAUCAGAGAAUUGAAAACUGUUGAGACGAGUCAGAGAAUCAGGGGUUCUACAAAAAUGUUCACCAGGCUGUGUGAUUGCUUAAUGGUGCUGAGUAUAGAAUUCAGAUCUGCUGAGUCUGAGUAGAGAGUGCAUGUCUCUCUUUGUUACUUCUCAGGAAGACCAGAAGGGUUCACAUUUCCUGAUUCUGCUUCAAGGGACCUCACUCCAAAAGGCAUGACUAUGGAACUCCUCUCCUGGGAACUAGGGAGCCUCACAGCUCUCUCAAGAAGAUAUUAAUAGAGGGGCAGCUAGGUGGCACAGUGGAUAGAACACUGGCCCUGGAGUCAGGAGGACCUGAAUUCAAA